UCCAUCCAAAGGUAGAAAAAUUGUUCUCUUAUGAUACAUCCAGUGAAGACUCUACAAGUCAUCAGACAUAUGAAGCAGAGGAGCACAGUCAUGUCUGCAAUUCGUAAAGAAGCCCCAAAAAGGGAAAAGCAUCUCUCCAAAAGAGGGAAGACUGAAUUGGAUGAUUCGAGUCCAGGCGGGGACCCUGGCGGUCCGAUCCUUGGCUGCAGAAGCUAGCUCUUGGGACAUGGAAUGUCACCUCUCUGGCAGGGAAGGAGCCCGAGCUGGUGUGUGAGGCAGAGAAUUUCCGACUGGAUAUAGUCGGACUUGCCUCCACACACAGCCCGGGUUCUGGUACCAGUUCUCUCGAGAGGGGUUGGACUCUCUUCCACUCUGGAGUUGCUCACGGUGAGAGGCGCAGAGCAGGUGUGGGCAUACUCAUUGCCCCCCGCCUCAGUGCCUGUACAUUGGGGUUCACACCGGUAGACGAGAGGGUUGCCUCCCUCCGCCUUCGGGUGGGUGGACGGGUCCUGACUGUUGUUUGUGCAUAUGCACCAAACAGCAGCUCAGCAUACCCACCCUUUUUGGAGUCCUUGGAGGGUGUGCUGGAGAGUACUCCUGCUGGGGACUCCAUUGUUCUGCUGGGGGACUUCAAUGCUCACGUGGGCAAUGACAGUGAUACCUGGAGGGGCGUGAUUGGGAGGAACGGCCCCCCCCGAUCAAAACCCGAGUGGUGUUUUGUUAUUGGACUUCUGUGCUCGUCACGGAUUGUCCAUAACGAACACCUUGUUCAAACAUAAGGGUGUCCAUAUGUGCACUUGGCACCAGGACACCCCAGGCCGCAGUUCGAUGAUCGACUUUGUAGUUGUAUCAUCGGAUUUGCGGCCGCAUGUUCUGGACACUCGGGUGAAGAGAGGGGCGGAGCUGUCAACUGAUCACCACCUGGUGGUGAGUAGGCUCCGAUGGUGGGGGAAGAUGCCGGUCCGUCCUGGCAGACCCAAACGUAUAGUGAGGGUUUGUUGGGAGCGUCUGGCGGAAUCCCCUGUCAGAAGGAGUUUCAACUCCCACCUCCGACAGAGCUUUUCCCAUGUUCCGGGGGAGACGGGGGACAUUGAGUCCGAGUGGACCAUGUUCCGUGCCUCUAUUGUUGAGGCGGCCAAUCUGAGUUGUGGCCGUAAGGUGGUUGGUGCCUGUCGUGGCGGCAAUCCCCGUACUCGCUGGUGGACACCAGCAGUAAGGGAUGCCGUCAAGCUGAAGGAGUCCUA